GUGCUCUCUAUGGCAGCGCAUAUACUAACGUUAAUUGGAGUGAUGUAGAGAAGAUGAGCCUGGUCCCUGUGCAACGGUCAUGUGCAAAUUCGUGAAGCCUUCCAUAUUUUU
ensembl:snRNA U6 U6 spliceosomal RNA